UACAGAGGGUGCGAGCGUUGUCCGGAAUCACUGGGCGUAAAGGGCGCGUAGGUGGUGGCUUAAGCGUGCGGUGAAAGCUCGGGGCUCAACCCCGAGUCGGCCGUGCGAACUGGGCUCACUGGAGCAUAGCAGAGGCAGGUGGAAUUCCGGGUGUAGCGGUGGAAUGCGUAGAGAUCCGGAAGAACACCGGUGGCGAAGGCGGCCUGCUGGGCUAUGGCUGACACUGAGGCGCGACAGCGUGGGGAGCAAACAGG
rnacentral:rRNA from 1 species